UUUUUAAUGAAAAUAUUUUGUAUGAUCUGAUUAGAAAUAGCAUUUGUAUGCAUUAUAAUAUUAUUAGAAAAUUUUUCGCUAUUUUUACAGAUUUUGAGUACAGAUUUUUUUUUCAAAAUUUUGUUCAUGCAAGGUUAAUUUUUGUAUAGGAAAAUGGCGUUUUCCCUUGUGUUGCUGAUUUUGGUGCUGAUGGCCGCUGGAGGCGCUUGUGGACGUGGCCGAGGUGGUGGUAGAGGUUGUCGAGGGGCCUCUAAGAGGACACGUCCAACUGAAGAAGCGUCCGGAUCUGAUCCGGAUUAUCAGG
rnacentral:lncRNA from 1 species